rnacentral:rRNA from 1 species
UACGUAGGGGGCAAGCGUUGUCCGGAUUUAUUGGGCGUAAAGAGCGUGUAGGCGGCUUCACAGGUCCGCUGUGAAAACUCGAGGCUCAACCUCGAGCUGUCGGUGGAAACCGUGUGGCUAGAGUCCGGAAGAGGAGAGUGGAAUUCCCGGUGUAGCGGUGAAAUGCGCAGAUAUCGGGAAGAACACCCGUGGCGAAGGCGGCUCUCUGGGACGGUACUGACACUGAGGCGCGAAAGCGUGGGGAGCGAACAGG